GGGGUUGUGGCUCAGCAAUAGAGCGCUCACCUAGAAUGUGUGAGGCCCUGGGUUCAAUUCUCAGCACCA
rfam:Ictidomys tridecemlineatus contig037998, whole genome shotgun sequence.